rnacentral:rRNA from 1 species
GGUCAAGUUAUUAAGGGCUUACGGUGGAUGCCUUGGGACCAAGGGCCGAUGAAGGGCGCGGCAAGGCUGCGUUAAGCCUCGGUGAGCCGUCUAGCGGGCAUAGCCGGGGAUACCCGAAUGGGGAAACCUUGACCGGUGUUGAGUCGGUCAACCUGCUUUUGCAGGGGGUAAGUGGGGGAACUGAAACAUCUAAGUACCCCGAGGAAAAUAAAUCAACCGAGAUUCCCUAAGUAGUGGCGAACGAACGGGGAACAGCCCAAACCAGUGCGACCUAACGGCAUGAGGGCCUAUGUCGCACCGGGGUUGUAGGAGUCGCCUGGGACCGCCUCAUCAGGUCCGCAGGAGUUACAAAUCCGCUUUCUAGUCGAAGGAGCCUGGGAAGGACCGCCAUAGAGGGUGAUAGCCCCGUAGGCGAAAGGAAGCGGACUCUUGGCGAAUUUCCUGAGUACCACGGGGCACGGGAAACCUUGUGGGAAUCCGGGGGGACCACCCUCCAAGGCUAAAUACCCUUGGUCACCGAUAGCGUACCAGUACCGUGAGGGAAAGGUGAAAAGAACCCCUAGCGGGGAGUGAAAUAGAUCUGAAACCGUAAGCCUACAGAAGGUCGUAGCCUCGAUUCGUCGGGGUGGCGGCGUGCCUAUUGAAGAAUGAUCCGGGGACUUAAUGUGUGGAGCGAGGUUAAGGAACUGUAGUUCCGGAGCCGCAGCGAAAGCGAGUCUGAAUAGGGCGACGAGUUCCAUGUAUUAGACCCGAAACCGGGUGAGCUACCCAUGGCCAGGUUGAAGGUUCGAUAAAACGGACUGGAGGACCGAACUCGUGGCUAGUACAAAAGCUUGGGAUGAGCUGUGGGUAGAGGUGAAAUGC